GAUGAACGCUGGCGGCGUGCCUAAUACAUGCAAGUCGAGCGAACGGACGAGAAGCUUGCUUCUCUGAUGUUAGCGGCGGACGGGUGAGUAACACGUGUAUAACCUACCUAUAAGACUGGGAUAACUUCGGGAAACCGGAGCUAAUCCCGGAUAAUAUUUUGAACCGCAUGGUUCAAAAGUGAAAGACGGUCUUGCUGUCACUUAUAGAUGGAUCCGCGCUGCAUGAGCUAGUUGGUAAGUUAACGGCUUAUCAAGGCAACUAUGCAUAGCCGACCGGAGAGGGGGAUAGGCGACAUGAGAGCUGAGACACGGACCAGGCUCCUACGAGAGGCAGCAGAAGGGAAUCUGCGGCAAAGGGCGAAAGCCUGACGGAGCAACGCCGCGUGAGUGAUGAAGGUCUUCGGAUCGUAAAACUCUGUUAUUAGGGAAGAACAUAUGUGGAAGGAGCUGUGCACAUCGUGACGGUACCUAAUCAGAAAGCCACGGCUAACUACGUG
rnacentral:rRNA from 1 species